GAUGAACGCUGGCGGCGUGCCUAAUACAUGCAAGUAGAACGCUGAAGCUUGGUGCUUGCACCGAGCGGAUGAGUUGCGAACGGGUGAGUAACGCGUAGGUAACCUGCCUGGUAGCGGGGGAUAACUAUUGGAAACGAUAGCUAAUACCGCAUAACAGUAGAUAUUGCAUGAUAUCUGCUUGAAAGGUGCAAAUGCAUCACUACCAGAUGGACCUGCGUUGUAUUAGCUAGUUGGUGAGGUAACGGCUCACCAAGGCGACGAUACAUAGCCGACCUGAGAGGGUGAUCGGCCACACUGGGACUGAGACACGGCCCAGACUCCUACGGGAGGCAGCAGUAGGGAAUCUUCGGCAAUGGGGGGAACCCUGACCGAGCAACGCCGCGUGAGUGAAGAAGGUUUUCGGAUCGUAAAGCUCUGUUGUAAGAGAAGAACGAGUGUGAGAGUGGAAAGUUCACACUGUGACGGUACCUGACCAGAAAGGGACGGCUAACUACGUG
rnacentral:rRNA from 1 species